GACGAACGCUGGCGGCGUGCUUAACACAUGCAAGUCGAACGAAGUGGCGAACGGGUGAGUAACGCGUAAUCAACCUGCCCUUCAGAGGGGGAGAACAGUUGGAAACGACUGCUAAUACCGCAUACUGAUGGAGGGGUUUCCGUCUGAUUAACGAGUUGGGGGGGUAACGGCCCACCAAGGCGAUGAUCAGUAGCCGGUCUGAGAGAAUGAACGGCCAAAUUGGGACUGAGACACGGCCCAAACUCAUACGGAAGGAAGCAGUGGGGAAUAUUCCGCAAAGGACGAAAGUUUGACGGAGAAACGCCGCGUGAGGGAUGACGGCCUUCGGGUUGAAAAGCUCUGUUAAUCGGGACGCGGUACCGAAAUAGAAAGCCAAGGCUAACUACGUGCCAGCAGCCGCGGUAAUAC
rnacentral:rRNA from 1 species